UUUAUCUUCUUCUUCUCUCUAUACGUUGGUGUUCUAACCAAUAAUCAACGAUGCGAUGUUCUGUCCGAUCGAUUCAGGAACCAUCUAACGAAUGCCGAAGUGUUGUACUUUGUGAAUUUCGUUAAACGGAAUCCAGAGUACUAUACUUUGUGAGUUCAUUAAAUGGAUAUCAAAGUACUGUCUGAAUAAGACUAUACUUUGUGAAAUUCGUUAAGGUUCGAAUCUCGUGACUACCGUUAAGGUUUGAUUUGGGUUUUACACAAAUACGUAUUCCAUUCUGUUAAACUAUAUGUUUAACUACCGAAAAUACUCCCCACUACACACUCGCAAUCAAACAAACUAUUAAAUCAUCAGAAGAUCCAGAAUAAUAAAGUGCAUGCUUAAUUAUCGGAAGAAGUAGAAUCAAGAAGCUUGUUAACUCAAUCUUGCAUGCUUAUAAAGGGAGUCAUUCUCUUUUUAUCAACUGUUUUACAAAACUCCAAAUUAUUUUCCAAAGUUAUAAUUACAGGGAUUAAGUCUAUGUAAUCACCAAAGUACAGCCGGUAUGUGGGGUUUUGUGAUCUGGUAUGAGCAAAGAAAAGUGCCGUGGAGCACUCCCAGCUUAGAAAAGUGGCUCAAUGUAAAUAAAUAAAUGAACAUGUUUUGAAAAUAAAGAUUUCCUUGAGAAAUCACAUUAUUGUAAAUUUAGGGAAUUUAUCCCUAAGUUAUGAAACGAGCAGUUUAAAUUAUUGAAAGAUCCUGUUUUUUU
rnacentral:lncRNA from 1 species